GACGAACGCUGGCGGCGCGCUUAACACAUGCAAGUCGAACGGUAAGGCCCUUCGGGGUACACGAGUGGCGAACGGGUGAGUAACACGUGGGUGAUCUGCCCUGCGCUUCGGGAUAAGCCUGGGAAACUGGGUCUAAUACCGGAUAGGACUCCGGACUGCAUGGUCUGGGGUGGAAAGCUUUUGCGGUGUGGGAUGGGCCCGCGGCCUAUCAGCUUGUUGGUGGGGUGAUGGCCUACCAAGGCGGCGACGGGUAGCCGGCCUGAGAGGGUGACCGGCCACACUGGGACUGAGAUACGGCCCAGACUCCUACGGGAGGCAGCAGUGGGGAAUAUUGCACAAUGGGCGCAAGCCUGAUGCAGCGACGCCGCGUGAGGGAUGACGGCCUUCGGGUUGUAAACCUCUUUCAGCAUCGACGAAGCGAAAGUGACGGUAGGUGCAGAAGAAGGACCGGCCAACUACGUGCCAGCCGCCGCCGUAA
rnacentral:rRNA from 1 species